CCUACGGGAGGCAGCAGUGGGGGAUAUUGCACAAUGGGGGAAACCCUGAUGCAGCGACGCCGCGUGAGUGAAGAAGUAUUUCGGUAUGUAAAGCUCUAUCAGCAGGGAAGAAAAUGACAGUACCUGACCAAGAAGCCCCGGCUAACUACGUGCCAGCAGCCGCGGUAAUACGUAGGUGGCAAGCGUUAGCCGGAUUUACUGGGUGUAAAGGGGGCGUAGACGGUUAUGUAAGUCUGGAGUGAAAGCCCGGGGACCAACCCCGGGACUGCUUUGGAAACUGUGUAACUGGAGUACAGGAGGGGCAGGCGGAAUUCCUGGUGUAGCGGUGAAAUGCGUAGAUAUCAGGAGGAACACCGGCGGCGAAGGCGGCCUGCUGGACUGAAACUGACGUUGAGGCUCGAAAGCGUGGGGAGCAAACAGGAUUAGAUACCCUAGUAGUC
rnacentral:rRNA from 1 species